CCAGGGUGAAGGCAGGGUAAUACCUGCUGGAGGCCCGAACCGGGUAAUGUUGAAAAAUUAUCGGAUGAGCUGUGGAUAGGAGUGAAAGGCUAAUCAAGCCUGGAGAUAGCUGGUUCUCCCCGAAAGCUAUUUAGGUAGCGCCUCGUGUAUCACUACCGGGGGUAGAGCACUGUUUCGGCUAGGGGGUCAUACCGAUUUACCAAACCGAUGCAAACUCCGAAUACCGGUAAGUGCAGCACGGGAGACACACGGCGGGUGCUAAGGUUCGUCGUGGAAAGGGAAACAGCCCAGACCGCCAGCUAAGGUCCCCAAAUUACGGCUAAGUGGUAAACGAAGUGGGAAGGCCCAGACAGCCAGGAGGUUGGCUUAGAAGCAGCCAUCCUUUAAAGAAAGCGUAACAGCUCACUGGUCUAGUCGGCCUGCGCGGAAGAUUUAACGGGGCUUAAGCCGUAUACCGAAGCUGCGGCUCGAUACUUUCUUCGGAUCGUAUCGGGGGUAGGGGAGCGUUCUGUAAGCCAGUGAAGGUGCGUCGCGAGGCGUGCUGGAGGUAUCAGAAGUGCGAAUGCUGACAUGAGUAACGAUUAUGCGGGUGAAAAACCCGCACGCCAGAAGCCCAAGGUUUCCUGCGCAACGCUAAUCGGCGCAGGGUGAGUCGGCCCCUAAGGCGAGACCGAAAGGUGUAGUCGAUGGGAAACAGGUCAACAUUCCUGUACCGGCCGUAACUGCGAUGGGGUGACGGAGAAGGUUAGGCCUACCGGGCGUUGGUUGUCCCGGGGAAAGUAGGUAGGCGGGCGCUUUUGGAAAAUCCGGAGCGCCGUUAACGCCGAGAUACGAGACCACCGGCAUUGCCGGGAAGUGGCUUACACCAUGCUUCCAGGAAAAACCUCUAAGCAUCAGGUUACGGGCGACCGUACCGUAAACCGACACAGGUGGGCAGGGAGAGAAUCCUAAGGCGUUUGAGAGAACUCGGGUGAAGGAACUAGGCAAAUUGGUACCGUAACUUCGGGAGAAGGUACGCCUUUGACGGUGACGGGACUUGCUCCCUGAGCUGUCGGAGGCCGCAGUGACCAGGUGGCUGCGACUGUUUACUAAAAACAUAGCACUCUGCUAACUCGCAAGAGGAUGUAUAGGGUGUGACGCCUGCCCGGUGCCGGAAGGUUAAGUGAUCCUGUUAGCCCUUUUGGGCAAAGCUCGUGACCGAAGCCCCGGUAAACGGCGGCCGUAACUAUAACGGUCCUAAGGUAGCGAAAUUCCUUGUCGGGUAAGUUCCGACCUGCACGAAUGGCGUAACGAUGGCCACACUGUCUCCACCCGGGACUCAGUGAAAUUGAAAUUGCUGUGAAGAUGCAGUGUACCCGCGGCUAGACGGAAAGACCCCGUGAACCUUUACUACAGCUUUGUACUGGAUCUUGAGCCAGCUUGUGCAGGAUAGGUGGGAGGCUUUGAAGCGAGGACGCCAGUUCUCGUGGAGCCAACCUUGAAAUACCACCCUGGCUUGUUUGAGGUUCUAACCCAGGCCCGUUAUCCGGGUCGGGGACAGUGCAUGGUGGGUAGUUUGACUGGGGCGGUCUCCUCCCAAAGAGUAACGGAGGAGCACAAAGGUACCCUCAGCGCGGUCGGACAUCGCGCAUUGCGUGUAAAGGCAUAAGGGUGCUUGACUGCGAGACGUACAAGUCGAGCAGGGACGAAAGUCGGUCUUAGUGAUCCGGUGGUUCUGUAUGGAAGGGCCAUCGCUCAACGGAUAAAAGGUACUCCGGGGAUAACAGGCUGAUACCGCCCAAGAGUUCACAUCGACGGCGGUGUUUGGCACCUCGAUGUCGGCUCAUCACAUCCUGGGGCUGAAGCAGGUCCCAAGGGUAUGGCUGUUCGCCAUUUAAAGUGGUACGCGAGCUGGGUUUAGAACGUCGUGAGACAGUUCGGUCCCUAUCUGCCGUGGGCGUUGGAAACUUGAGGGGAGCUUCUCCUAGUACGAGAGGACCGGAGUGGACGUACCUCUGGUGUUCCGGUUGUCACGCCAGUGGCAUUGCCGGGUAGCUAUGUACGGAAGGGAUAACCGCUGAAAGCAUCUAAGCGGGAAGCCCACCCCAAGAUUAGGUUUCCCGGAUCUUCGGAUCCCUGAAGGGCCCUUGAAGACUACAAGGUUGAUAGGCUGGGUGUGGAAGCGCGGCAACGCGUGAAGCUAACCAGUACUAAUUGCCCGUGCGGCUUAAACCG
rnacentral:rRNA from 1 species